CACGUAAUUAGCCGGACCUUAUUCGUAUAGUACUGUCAUUUUCUUCCUAUACAAAAGAUUUUUACAACCCGAAGGCCUUCUAAAUCACGCGGCGUCGCUGCAUCAGGGUUUCCCCCAUUGUGCAAAAUUCCCCACUGCUGCCUCCCGUAGGGGUCUGGGCCGUGUCUCAGUCCCAAUGUGGCCGUACACUCUCUCAAGCCGGCUACUGAUCGUUGCCUUGGUGAGCUGUUAUCUCACCAACUAGCUAAUCAGACGCAAGUCCAUCUUACACCACUAAACAUUUUGACCAGAUUAUCAUGCGAUUGUCUGGUUUCAUAGGGUAUUAUUCUCCGUUUCCAGAGGCUAUCCUCUUGUGUAAGGCAGGUUACUCACGCGUUACUCACCCGUUCGCCACUAAUCCAUUCAUUUUCAUUCCGAAGAAUCUAAUGAGUUUUCAUCGUUCGACUUGCAUGUGUUAUGCACGCCGCCAGCGUUAAUCCUGAGCCAGGAUCAAACUCU
rnacentral:rRNA from 1 species